GAUGAACGCUGGCGGCGUGCUUAACACAUGCAAGUCGAACGAAGCAUUUAGAACAGAUUACUUCGGUUUGAAGUUCUUUAUGACUGAGUGGCGGACGGGUGAGUAACGCGUGGGUAACCUGCCUUGUACUGGGGGAUAGCAGCUGGAAACGGCUGGUAAUACCGCAUAAGCGCACAAUGUUGCAUGACAUGGUGUGAAAAACUCCGGUGGUAUAAGAUGGACCCGCGUCUGAUUAGCUAGUUGGUGAGAUAACAGCCCACCAAGGCGACGAUCAGUAGCCGACCUGAGAGGGUGACCGGCCACAUUGGGACUGAGUCACGGCCCAGACUCCUACGGGAGGCAGCAGUGGGGAAUAUUGCACAAUGGAGGAAACUCUGAUGCAGCGACGCCGCGUGAGUGAAGAAGUAAUUCGUUAUGUAAAGCUCUAUCAGCAGGGAAGAUAGUGACGGUACCUGACGAAGAAGCUCCGGCUAAAUACGUG
rnacentral:rRNA from 1 species